ACCCGCUCUAGCCCUCAAAAUCAGCCCCAAUAAAAUUAACUACACUAAACCAAAACAUUUUUAUUAUGCCUAAGUAUCGGUGAGAGAAAAGACAACAGGCGCAAUAGAGACAGUACCGCAAGGGAAAGAUGAAAUAAAAAUUUAACACAAAAGUACAGCACAGCAAAGAUUAACCCUUUUACCUUUUGCAUUAUGGUUUAGCCAAACAUAACCGUGGCAAAGAGCACUAAAGUCACCUACACCCGAAUCUGGGCGAGCUACUAGCCAGCAGAAGUAGUACAGCACCAACCCAUCUCUGUGGCAAAAGAGCGGGAAGACUGACUAGUAGAAGUGAAAAGCCUAACGAGCCCAGUGAUAGCUGGUUGCUUGGGAAUAGAAUAUAAGUUCUACUGAAAACCUUCUGAUUCACCACAAUAAAGGACAAAGAAAGUUUUCAAGAUAUUUAAUGGGGGUACAGCCCCAUUAACACAGGACUCAACCUCUACCUAAGGGUAAAACCAAUUCGCACCUUAAAUGUAGGCUUUAAAGCAGCCAGCACAACGAAAGCGUCAAAGCUCGCACCAAAAAAAUACCUACAACAAAAUUAAACCCUACAGCACAACCAAGCCUUUCUAAAACAUUAGAAGAGAUUAUGCUAAAAUUAGUAACAAGAACCUUGAUCUUCUCCUGGGCGCUAGCCUACACUACUCAUGACACACUAUUGGUAAUUAACACCCUACCCAUCUGCCACAAACAUAAGGGACACACACUGUUAACCCAACACAGGAGCGCAGCAGGAAAGGCUAAACCCUGCAAAAGGAACUCGGCAAACAAAGAUUCCGACUGUUUACCAAAAACACAGCCCCCAGCCUCCCAAGUAUUGGGGGUGAUGCCUGCCCAAUGACUUUAAGUUAAAUGGCCGCGGUAUCUACAACCGUGCGAAGGUAGCGUAAUCAUUUGUUCUUUAAAUAAGGACCAGUAUGAAAGGCUAAACGAGAAUCUAUCUGUCUCUUGCAGAAGGCCAGUGAAAUUGAUCCCCCUGUGCAAAAGCAGGGAUGUCAACAUUAGACGAGAAGACCCUGUGAAACUUUAAACCACUAAAUCACAAAAAAUUGUAAAAUAUCACCCCAAGCGGACUAACUACAAUUAACACACUGAUUUAGCGUUUUCGGUUGGGGCGACCCCAAAAUAAAAAAAACUUUCCAGGAAAACAGUAACAUGACACUUACUGACCAAGACCUACACCACAAAGUGCUUAAAUGUAAUCAGAUCCGGCACACGCCGAUUCAUGAACUAAGCUACUCCAGGGAUAACAGCGCAAUCCCCUUCAAGAGCCCAUAUCGACAAGGGGGUUUACGACCUCGAUGUUGGAUCAGGACAUCCUAAUGGUGUAACCGCUAUUAAUGGUUCGUUUGUUCAACGAUUAAAGUCCUACGUGAUCUGAGUUCAGACCGGAGCAAUCCAGGUCGGUUUCUAUCUAUGAAUGCGAACCUUUCUAGUACGAAAGGACCGAAAGAGCAGGGCCCAUGCCACUAAAGUAAGCCUUACCUAAAGAUUAAUGAAAACAACUAAAUUAACAACCAGGACAAUCACACCCCGCCUCAAUACAAGAGGAA
rnacentral:rRNA from 1 species